GGCCCAGGUUGUACAGAGAGCGGGCUAACAAUUAAACAGGCUAAUCAAUUUCAGUUUAAUAUUUGAGUCCAUAUUCUGGUCGUGUUUGCUUUUGCUAGUAUAGACCAGCACCCUCUAGGACCAGCACCAGACUAGGACUGAGCUUUGGCCAAAGAAUUUGGAGCUAGCUUAUAAAAACUGUGAUUCGAGUUUUGAUCUCUGACAUUCUACUUUCACUUCAAAGUAUGUUAAAGUACCUGUAGAUGUGCAGAAUCUGUAUCUGUUCAUUAUUACUUCACCCAGUCCGUAGCUUGUUUAUUCACUUCCCUUUUCCAAUUUAGAAUAAAGGAGCACAAGGAUCAGGCAUAUCUGGCCAAGCUAGAAAACAAAAGACAAGGGGAACAAAUACAGAGAUCGACCCAAUUGUACCAACUGGAAAUUCAGAGAGGAAAAGAAAAGGAACAUGAGGAAAAAGUUGAAUGGCAGAGGCUGCAUCAUGAAUAUGUAGCUGAACAGAAAGUAAUUAAAGCUGAAGAGAAAAAAAAAGAAGACAAAGAUGAUGAUUGGAUUAAGGAUUAAAGAAACGAUGGCUGAUCUGGCAAGAGAAAAAGAUGCAGAGACUAACAGGCUGAUGCAGAAGCAUAGGGACAAAGCUUUUGAAAAAACUAUCUGCACAGAUGAACAAGGCAUUUAAGAUUGAAGAUGAUUGCCUUGUGAGAGGAGCUGCAGAGGUAGAAGCUGAAUACCAAAUGAAAAACUAGGAGAAAGAAGCAAGACAGAAGGCUGCCAUUGAAUCUAUUGCUGAAUACAGAGCCAGUGCGGUAAGAAACCUGGGCUGAUCUUACUGCUGCUUACUUCAGCUGAGGAGCCUGGCCCAGAUCACAGCUGG
rnacentral:lncRNA from 1 species